CGUAUCACUUAAAGCGAUUCAGCGGGUUACGAUUGACGGAGCGAAGCGACGUCAAAGCGUAUACAAAGUCGAGUCGGUUUAAGGAUACGUUCGUUGGGUAGGGGAGCGUUCUGUAAGCCUGUGAAGGUGGCCUGUGAGGGUUGCUGGAGGUAUCAGAAGUGCGAAUGCUGACAUAAGUAACGAUAAAGCGGGUGAAAAGCCCGCUCGCCGGAAGACCAAGGGUUCCUGUCCAACGUUAAUCGGGGCAGGGUGAGUCGACCCCUAAGGCGAGGCCGAAAGGCGUAGUCGAUGGGAAACGGGUUAAUAUUCCCGUACUUGGUGUUACUGCGAAGGGGGGACGGAGAAGGCUAUGUUGGCCGGGCGACGGUUGUCCCGGUUUAAGCGUGUAGGUGUGUGUUCCAGGUAAAUCCGGUUCACUUUAACACUGAGGCGUGAUGACGAGGCACUACGGUGCUGAAGCAACAAAUGCCCUGCUUCCAGGAAAAGCCUCUAAGCAUCAGGUAACAUCAAAUCGUACCCCAAACCGACACAGGUGGUCAGGUAGAGAAUACCAAGGCGCUUGAGAGAACUCGGGUGAAGGAACUAGGCAAAAUGGUGCCGUAACUUCGGGAGAAGGCACGCUGACAC
rnacentral:rRNA from 1 species